rnacentral:rRNA from 1 species
AGUGAACGCUGGCGGUAGGCCUAACACAUGCAAGUCGAACGGCAGCACAGUAAGAGCUUGCUCUUACGGGUGGCGAGUGGCGUACGGGUGGGGGAUAAAUCGGAAUCUACUUUUUCGUGGGGGGUAGCGUAAGGAAACUUACGCUAAUCCAGCAUACGACCUACGGGUUAAAGCAGGGGAUCUUCGGACCUUGCGCGAAUUAAUUCGCCGAGAUCGGAUUCGCUGGUUGAGGGGGUAAAGGGCCACCAAGGCGACGAUCCGUAGCUGGUCUGAGAGGAGGUCGGGCAACACGGGAAUGGAGACACGGUCCAGACCCCUACGGGAGGCAGCAGAGGGGAAUAUUGGACAAGGGGCGCAGUCUUGAUCAAGCCAGCCCGCGUGGGUGAAGAAGGUCUUCGGGUGUUAAAGUCCGUUUGUUGGGAAAGAAAAGCAUCAGGUUAAUAACCCGCUGUUCUGACGGUACCCAAAGAAUAAGCACCGGCUAACUUCGUG